GACGAACGCUGGCGGCGUGCUUAACACAUGCAAGUCGAACGGUGAAGCGCCUUCCUUUUUGGUGGGUGUGGAUGAGUGGCGAACGGGUGAGUAACACGUGAGUAACCUGCCCCCUUCUUCUGGAUAACCGCAUGAAAGUGUGGCUAAUACGGGAUAUUCUGGGUCUGUCGCAUGAUGGGUCUGGGACAGAUAUUGUUUCGGUUGGGGAUGGGCUCGCGGCGUAUUAGCUUGUUGGUGGGGUGAUGGCCUACCAAGGCGGCGAUGGGUAGCCGGCCUGAGAGGGGGGUCGGCGGUCCCAGAGGGGAGACGCGGCGGAGAAGACUCCGAGAGGAGGCAGCAGGGGGUAAUAUGGAAUGAUGGGAGCAAGGCUGGUGCAGCGACGCGGGGUGGGUGAUGGACUCCGUCGGGUUGUGAACCUCUUUCGGCAGUGAAGCAGGGUGGCAUCGUUUGUGGGUGGGUUGACGGUAGCUGGAUAGGAAGCGCCGGCUAACUACGUG
rnacentral:rRNA from 1 species